GAUGAACGCUGGCGGCGUGCCUAAUACAUGCAAGUCGAGCGAACGGACGAGAAGCUUGCUUCUCUGAUGUUAGCGGCGGACGGGUGAGUAACACGUGGAUAACCUACCUAUAAGACUGGGAUAACUUCGGGAAACCGGAGCUAAUACCGGAUAAUAUUUUGAACCGCAUGGUUCAAAAGUGAAAGACGGUCUUGCUGUCACUUAUAGAUGGAUCCGCGCUGCAUUAGCUAGUUGGUAAGGUAACGGCUUACCAAGGCAACGAUGCAUAGCCGACCUGAGAGGGUGAUCGGCCACACUGGAACUGAGACACGGUCCAGACUCCUACGGGAGGCAGCAGUAGGGAAUCUUCCGCAAUGGGCGAAAGCCUGACGGAGCAACGCCGCGUGAGUGAUGAAGGUCUUCGGAUCGUAAAACUCUGUUAUUAGGGAAGAACAUAUGUGUAAGUAACUGUGCACAUCUUGACGGUACCUAAUCAGAAAGCCACGGCUAACUACGUGCCUGCAGCCGCGGUAAUACGUAGGUGGCAAGCGUUAUCCGGAAUUAUUGGGCGUAAAGCGCGCGUAGGCGGUUUUUUAAGUCUGAUGUGAAAGCCCACGGCUCAACCGUGGAGGGUCAUUGGAAACUGGAAAACUUGAGUGCAGAAGAGGAAAGUGGAAUUCCAUGUGUAGCGGUGAAAUGCGCAGAGAUAUGGAGGAACACCAGUGGCGAAGGCGACUUUCUGGUCUGUAACUGACGCUGAUGUGCGAAAGCGUGGGGAUCAAACAGGAUUAGAUACCCUGGUAGUCCACGCCGUAAACGAUGAGUGCUAAGUGUUAGGGGGUUUCCGCCCCUUAGUGCUGCAGCUAACGCAUUAAGCACUCCGCCUGGGGAGUACGACCGCAAGGUUGAAACUCAAAGGAAUUGACGGGGACCCGCACAAGCGGUGGAGCAUGUGGUUUAAUUCGAAGCAACGCGAAGAACCUUACCAAAUCUUGACAUCCUUUGACAACUCUAGAGAUAGAGCCUUCCCCUUCGGGGGACAAAGUGACAGGUGGUGCAUGGUUGUCGUCAGCUCGUGUCGUGAGAUGUUGGGUUAAGUCCCGCAACGAGCGCAACCCUUAAGCUUAGUUGCCAUCAUUAAGUUGGGCACUCUAAGUUGACUGCCGGUGACAAACCGGAGGAAGGUGGGGAUGACGUCAAAUCAUCAUGCCCCUUAUGAUUUGGGCUACACACGUGCUACAAUGGACAAUACAAAGGGCAGCGAAACCGCGAGGUCAAGCAAAUCCCAUAAAGUUGUUCUCAGUUCGGAUUGUAGUCUGCAACUCGACUACAUGAAGCUGGAAUCGCUAGUAAUCGUAGAUCAGCAUGCUACGGUGAAUACGUUCCCGGGUCU
rnacentral:rRNA from 1 species